GAUGAACGCUCGCUACAGGCUUAACACAUGCAAGUCGAGGGGAAACGACAUCGAAAGCUUGCUUUUGAUGGGCGUCGACCGGCGCACGGGUGAGUAACGCGUAUCCAACCUGCCCAUCACUUGGGGAUAACCUUGCGAAAGUAAGACUAAUACCCAAUGAUAUCUCUAGAAGACAUCUGAAAGAGAUUAAAGAUUUAUCGGUGAUGGAUGGGGAUGCGUCUGAUUAGCUUGUUGGCGGGGUAACGGCCCACCAAGGCAACGAUCAGUAGGGGUUCUGAGAGGAAGGUCCCCCACAGUGGAACUGCGACACGGUCCAAACUCCUACGGGAGGCAGCAGUGAGGAAUAUUGGUCAAUGGGCGAGAGCCUGAACCAGCCAAGUAGCGUGCAGGAAGACGGCCCUAUGGGUUGUAAACUGCUUUUAUAAGGGAAUAAAGUGAGAGUCGUGACUCUUUUUGUAUGUACCUUAUGAAUAAGGACCGGCUAAUUCCGUG
rnacentral:rRNA from 1 species